rnacentral:misc_RNA from 1 species
GAUGAAGAACGUAGCGAAAUGCGAUAAGUAAUGUGAAUUGCAGAAUUCAGUGAAUCAUCGAAUCUUUGAACGCGCAUUGCGCCCCCUGGUAUUCCGGGGGGCAUGCCUGUUCGAGCGUCAUUUCACCACUCAAGCCUCGCUUGGUAUUGGGCAACGCGGUCCGCCGCGUGCCUCAAAUCGUCCGGCUGGGUCUUCUGUCCCCUAAGCGUUGUGGAAACUAUUCGCUAAAGGGUGUUCGGGAGGCUACGCCGUAAAACAACCCCAUUUCUAAGGUUGACCUCGGAUCAGGUAGGGAUACCCGCUGAACUUAAGCAUAUCAAUAAGCGGAGGA